rnacentral:rRNA from 1 species
AAACAUGCUCUUGACACAUACAUAUUCUAUAAGAGGUCCAGCCUGCCCAGUGACAUUUUUAACGGCCGCGGUACUCUGACCGUGCGAAGGUAGCAUAAUCACUUGUUCUUUAAAUGGGGACUAGUAUCAACGGCAUCACGAGGAUUUUACUGUCUCCUUUUUCUAAUCGGUGAAACUGAUCUCCCCGUGAAGAAGCGGGGAUAAUACUAUAAGACGAGAAGACCCCAUGGAGCUUUAAACCCAGUAACAUCUCAAACUCUUUAUUCCCCCUUAGUUUUUAUGCAUUGUCUGCUGGUUUUAGGUUGGGGUGACCGCGGAGUAUAACUUAACCUCCACAGCGCACGGAACUUAUUCCUUAUCCAAGAGCCACAUCUCGAAGAAUCAAUAAAUUGACGUAAAAUGAUCCAUAACCUUGAUUAAUGAACCAAGUUACCCUGGGGAUAACAGCGCAAUCCAUUUUUAGAGCUCCUAUCGACAAAUGGGUUUACGACCUCGAUGUUGGAUCAGGGUAUCCCAGUGGUGCAGCCGCUACUAAUGGUUUGUUUGUUCAACAAUUAAACCCUACGUUGAUC